rnacentral:snRNA from 1 species
GGAUGUGAGGGCGAUCUGGCUGUGACAUCUGUCCCCCCACUGAUCGCCAGGGUUGAUUCAGCUGAGCUGGCUGGCUAGGCGGGUGUCCUCUUCCUCCCUCACCACUCCUUGUGUGUCCCUCUCGAAGCUGAGCGCUCAUUCGAAGAGGACGACCUUUUCCCGAAUAGAGGAGGACAGGCCUUUGGUGAAGGGUGGCUGCGCUCCCGUGUUAGAACCUCCAGACAAGCUAUGAAGAAGCUGGGGCAGAGAAUGCGCAGGGUGAACGUGAGCUCUGGCUGGCUUGUUAAUCUU